CGGUCUCAUGCAUAUUUUUUAUUAUGUUACCACACAAGAAAACUUUGCUUCCAUCCCAUACAAAAGUGUUUUCAUCACAAAAAUAAUUUGCUUCUAACCAAACAUAAGUUUGUUUCCGCGCUCCAUACACCAUCUUCAUGUGCCACAAACAUGCUUCCUUCGAUACAAUGUUUUUCAGUUCAUAUGGUAAGUUUCCUAUAGACUACAGACUUGCUUCCCUACAUCUAGCAUGAGAUCUGGGGUCCGAUCCAAGUGUCAUGACGCUCCUUAUAAAAUGUGCCGUUCGCUUCAGCAUAACUCUUCGUCGAUCUGGUUCAUUAUUUCUGGUGAACUGAAAACAUAUAAAUUGUAGUACACUGGCAAUUAUGAAAAAUAUGUAAGUAAUCUAUAUGAAAGCAAAAUAUGUAGACCAAAGAAACAAAUGUCAUAUCAUAUGGUGAGUGUGUCAUAUUACAUCAGUGAUAAUAAUGUGAACAUUUUUUAUAAAAGAAGCAAGGGACCUCGAAGAAGCAUAUGUUUUAUAACUUAGAAACUCCGCAGCAUGUAAGACACAUCUAAAUAGUGCUAUACCAACAUAACUCAUCUCAACUGGAAGCAUACUUAAAUAUCAACUAUAAACCCGUCAGCUGAUACCUAAACAUACGCUGGUAUGUUUGGAAGAAUGAAAGUAAAUAAAAAAAGGUUAGUAAUGGAAACAUGCCGGAGAUGAUUCGCAUGCAGACAAUCAUGGCUAGAUAGUACUUUAAAUAAUUAUUCAAAAGCAUGGAAAGACAAAUUGACAAACUUCGAAUCAUUACUAGCAAGAAUUUGAAAAAUGGUAAAUCUACCUAUUCGAAAUAACUAUGGGAAAUAUAAGAAGCAUGAACUAGUAUUGCCUGAUGCAAUAUUAACCACAAGUAAUGAAGCACGGAUGGUAUUGGUCAACCCAAAUUUCAGUUAUAGUUGAAGCAAAGAAAAUAGACCACAAAAAUUGUGCUACCACUUACGAGAAGUCAUUAAAUUCACAAAUUGGAAAGCUUGCCACAAGGAUUGGGAUGUGCAGCCAGGCUACUCAAGACAAAGCCCCAGGUUGCAGGCAGACCAAGGGCCGUGUCGUGUGGAGCAGUGCGGGGGAUCCAUCUGGGUGUCGUUGUCAGAGAUGAAAAUAGCAUGAAGGAAGGACAACGACAAUGUAUAUUUUAUAACAGUGCUGGCAGAAAUAGAAGAAUGAAUAAUCAAAGAAUAGGAUGGGACUAUGGAAGCAAAUUACAUAUAAGAAAAAAAGAUAUGUAAUAUAAUAUAGAAGCAUUGCAUGUUUCAAUUGGAAUAACACUGGUAUUAGCAACUAUGGAAGAAAAUUACAUAUUUGUAGUUCCAGUUGCCGAUUGGAUUGAAAUAUGCUAUAUGAAAGAUACCUACAAGAUAAAUUAUACACAUGGGUUCAAAUUGAAGCAUAGAACAAUGGAUAUUGAAGCAAAAUUAAAAUUAUUUGGCCACCAAGGGAUGGAUGUUUUGACUCAUCAACAUAUAGAUUGAUAUGAUUAUUAUAUCUUGGUGUUUGGAAGCCAAAAAAUUAGAGUCCAGAAGAAUUUGUAUAGCAUUACAAAUGCUACAGAACUACGAAGCAUGGAGAUUUUUAGUUUGAAACAGAUAUAUACAUAGAUGGAAGCAUGCGAAUAUGAAAUCAUGUCAAAACUCAUAUUACCGCAAAUAUUGGGAAUUGAAUCAGGUUAUUGUGAUUUGCACAAGAAAUUAACAAAAAAAUCCUAGAUGACAUGAUGAUCCAUUAUGCUUCAGAUAUAACAUAGAGACACUCAAACAAAUUUCAUCGAAGCAAGCAUUGCAUCAAAGCUAACGCAAAUCAGAACAGGAGAUCAAAUCUGAGUCAAAGAUGUGAUUAAUCAACCCUAGUUCGGGUGAAUACAUACUAGUGGGACGAUGCCUGGGACGCGCGUGCAGCUUGUUUCCUGAGCCAAAAUGCCACACCAGCAUGGUGGGAGGGAUGGUGAUGGGGUAAGGUCUGGCGGGG
rnacentral:lncRNA from 1 species